rnacentral:rRNA from 1 species
CACGUAAGGAGCGAGCGUUGUUCGGAAUUAUUGGGCGUAAAGGGCAUGUAGGCGGUUUCGUAAGUCUGAUGUAAAAGCGUGCAGCUUAACUGCAUUGUAGCGUUGGAAACUGCGAGACUAGAAUCCGAGAGGGGUGUGUGGAAUUUCUUGUGUAGGGGUGAAAUCUGUUGAUAUAAGAAAGAACACCAGAGGCGAAGGCGACACACUGGUUCUGGAUUGACGCUGAGGUGCGAAAGCGUAGGUAGCGAACAGG